GGGGCCGCCCCAGGGCGCGGUGGCGGCCGCCUCGAGGGACGGGUUGGGCUCUCCCCAUCCAUCCGUCCGCUCCUCCCGCAGGCACUCACCGAGCCGCCGUCGGCCUCCUCCGCCCGCGGCUCCGUCCUCCGCCCGGCGGUGGACGAGCCGUGCAGCAGCUGCUCCAGGCAGGCGGUGCUGGGCAGCGAGGAGCUCUUCUGGUGGGACAGCACAGCACGCCUGGUUAUUGGAUCCAUCGCUCCAUUUUGGAUGCUUAAUGCCGCUUGAAGUUUCUUUUUUCAAUUUAAGAAAUACCAGCAGGAUGGUUUCAGAACAAACUGACAUGAAUAAAUACUUCUGCAUGAAGUGAGCCACACCUCUGCUUGGAUUUUGGCUAUCGUUUAUGUCCAAAUCACUUGCACCUCUGUCCUGGCUGGGGGUUAGGCACCCACAUCAGUGCUCCUAAGGAGCUGCAGCCAGGCGUAGCAACAUGACUUCUGUUGAGCAGACCAGGGAGAAAGCAGAUGUUUUCGCAUCAUAGGGGCCCUUGGAAUUCAAUCUACAGUAUCUGGGAAACAGCCAAAGUGGCCUCUGGUUUGAUCCCUAGAAGUGAGUUCAAAAACUCGGCUUUUAAACACCUGAAAGCAAAAGCAGCGGAUAGCAGAACUCAUGUGAAUCAAAGCCUGAAGGAAGCCAGCGUGUCUUGGCUUCUGUUGUGGCAUCUUUAAUUCAAGGAAACAUGUUGAAAUUGAACCCCAUUGUGAAUCAUGGGUUUACUCAGAAAGCGGGAAUCAAAGAGUAAAGGGAAAGUUAAAUUUGGCUCUGCAUCUUUACUGAAAAGAGUGAAAAUGCCCAUCAGAAGAAGCACUGGAAUGCAUGUGUCUGCCUUGUCUUUUACUCUCUUUAUUUUAACAAUGGAGUGAAACAGCUGUAAAAUAAGCAGAUAAAUAAAGUGUAAUUUCUACUAAAGGUGC
ensembl:lncRNA